UUGUUUUGUUUGAUAGACGAAGCUUAGGGUCUCUUUGGGUUUGCAACCCUUACCCUCCUGGAAAAAAUCAUAGUUGCUAGACUGCGACACUUCAGACCAGGUACUGUUAGAGCCGCUAAUGGACGACGAGCUAUUUUCCGCUAUCCGGAGCUCAAGCAUUUGAGCCGCUAAAUGGACGAGACUCCUGGGGUAAAGGAUGCAGAGAAUGAGGAGAAAACACUCGUAUGGAGCAGGGAGUAGGUAUUGUACUACUUCCUGGUAUGGAGCACUGAGAAGCGCUCUCACCGUCCAGGAGCGACACUGACUCGCACUGCUAUCUGGUGCUCACGAGGUGUUUGUCGCGCUGCAAACGGAGCGUCUCUCAUUAGGCGAUUUGAUCGCAGGACGAGAGAGGAGCUGAUGGACGAUCUCUCCAAUGUUCCUCUUGGUUCGGAGCGGCGCCGAGUGCUGGCGUUGGGACUUGGAGUUCUAGCACCCGUAGCUGCCUCAGGGGGUGUCACGUCUCCCAUCAGCGUCAACUAGUCCGCAGGAAAGGACCAACCAAACUGCAUCCAACCAUUGGUCUUGCCGAAAAAAAAUUAUGGCCAUUGCAUUCUUCUUACGGCAAAAACUUUAACUUGUUUGCUGGCUAAAGCUGAGUCUGGCAAUUACAUGUUAAAACUAGCAAUGUGCUGUCUGGACAAUAAAAAAAUUC